rnacentral:lncRNA from 1 species
AUCCAAAAGCCAAACAGUUAAUGAUCAACAGUCAACAGACAACUCAGACAAACAAGCAAAGCAAUGCAUCAAGCACCAAUGUGCAAGCCACAAACUCAAUUCAAAUGAGCUAAAAGCAACCUACAAAACAAGUCAUGGUUAGUCAAGAUAAACCAAAUAGUCAACUCAAGCAAUGUGAAUCAAUUCCUCAAGGCCAUAUGCUUCUUAACCUGCAAACCAAACUCAAACAUGAGAAGCAAACCACUAGGACAAGGCCU